UGAUGAUAUAAUAAAAAUAUCUUAAUAAUGUCAUAUAAUUAUUUAUGUUGUGUGGCAGAACCUCCCAAGUUAUUGGGCCCACAUGCAUCUGUACUUGUCUCAAAGACCUCAGACGGCUAUGUAUGUGCACCAAAUAACUUAACAGGAUCCGUCCGAGUGUCCCAAGGACCCCGGAUAAACCACUUACAACCAAGAUCGCAAGAUUAAGUAACACAAAUCACACACACCAAUAAUUUGCAGCGGAAAUCUUAUUACCAAAUUUUACAAGUUACAAAAAUUUUACUUUGUACAUGAUCGGAGUGAUUAUAAAAGUGAUUCAAAGAAAUAACUUUGAACUGUUAUAAAUUAUUUGUAGUUUUGAAAUAUAUGCUAGCUCAAGUGACCAUCCUCAAUAAGAAGUAUAGAAGAGUUACUUAGACUUAUAAGAAGACCGAGCCCACCGGCACUUAACACCAUCAACAGCAGCAUAAAGUUAAAACCUGAAAAACAACAGGGAAUAAAACCCUGAGUAUGGAAUUACUCAGCAAGACUUACCCGACUAAAGAAAAGACUCUCAAGGAUAUGCUGGUUAAAUAGGAAUCAAGGAAAACGCUUUAGCAAGGAUCAACUUAGAUAUUUUUGCAGAAAUAGCUUACUAAAGUGACUCCUUACUUUCAACAUUUUAAUGCUAGAUUAAGUAUUAAUAGACCUUGUUUGCAUCUAGUCUAAUUUCACCAUCACAUUAAUCAAUCCAACAUGAUUUUUGCUCAUUAAGAUUCCAUCCAUGACUUAGAUUGCAGGGCAGUGACCAAGUCUUCAUGUCUGCGAAGUUACGGCGAUCCGAAUCGAUUAUACUCAGCUGAGGAUCUCCAAUCACACGACAUAUGUAGCACUUAACCCUUGCAUAUGUCAACUCGCCACCGGGGUUCUUAAGACCAGAUCAGGUUCACGCCAACCGAGAGCACAGAUACACCACCGUCCAGCCUCUUGCCACGGAGGGUACACGCUACUCUCGCCAUCUCUCCACUCCCAUUGCGUGUUAUCUUAUUCUAGUAUUAGUCUGCCUAAGGCAAAGCUUACCCAUGACGAGGCAUGUGACCAGUUAAAGGGUCCUCGAUCAUCAAGCCUACAUUCAGUAUAAUCCUUAAUCAACCUGGGUAGAACAUCACCUGUUCCUAGCCCAAGUCCCGAUUUAAGUACUUCCAUCCUUAGGAUUGUUUGUGUUCCUUAGGAUGAAAAGAGCAUUAUGGGAACUUUGCAGUAAGAUCCCACCACGCUCUCAAUGAAAAUAUUCUUGCAGGUAUAAGUCAUCCUUCCUCAGGAUAACCCCUGAGCUAGGCAUUAACGCAAAGGACAACCUCUAUCCACAAGAUCUAAGCAGGGAUAAGCAUUUUUGUAAAUCAUAUUUUGAUACUUCAUCAGAAGUAUCUAUAAAGGUAUGGAUAUCAAGGUAAGCAAUGCAUCAAAGGGUUUCCAAGCAACUCCUAUAAACCUAAUGCACAUUUCGCUAAACUUAAAGUGUGUAAAAAUUAUUUAAAAACACAAGGAAAGGGGUUGCAUGCACCAGGGCUUGCCUGGAAUAAACACUAGGUUAGUGUUUGUUAGGUGGUGUCCACUUGGCGAUCAACCUUUGUUCUGAUACUUGUUUCGUCUGCCCAUCUUCAGUUCCG
rnacentral:lncRNA from 1 species